rnacentral:rRNA from 1 species
AACGAACGCUGGCGGCAUGCCUAACACAUGCAAGUCGAACGAGACCUUCGGGUCUAGUGGCGCACGGGUGCGUAACGCGUGGGAACCUGCCCUUAGGUUCGGAAUAACUCCCCGAAAGGGGUGCUAAUACCGGAUAAUGUCUUCGGACCAAAGAUUUAUCGCCUUUGGAUGGGCCCGCGUUGGAUUAGCUAGUUGGUAGGGUAAAAGCCUACCAAGGCGACGAUCCAUAGCUGGUCUGAGAGGAUGAUCAGCCACACUGGGACUGAGACACGGCCCAGACUCCUACGGGAGGCAGCAGUGGGGAAUAUUGGACAAGGGGCGAAAGCCUGAUCCAGCAAUGCCGCGUGAGUGAUGAAGGCCUUAGGGUUGUAAAGCUCUUUUACCCGGGAUGAUAAUAACAGUACCGGGAGAAUAAGCUCCGGCUAACUCCGUG